rnacentral:rRNA from 1 species
UACGGAGGGGACUAGCGUUGUUCGGAAUUACUGGGCGUAAAGCGCACGCAGGCGGAUCGUUAAGUCAGGGGUGAAAUGCCGAGGCUCAACCUCGGAACUGCCUUUGAUACUGGCGAUCUUAGAGUCCGGGAGAGGUGAGUGGAACUCCGAGUGUAGAGGUGAAAUUCGUAGAUAUUCGGAAGAACACCAGUGGCGAAGGCGGCUCACUGGCCCGGUACUGACGCUCAGGUGCGAAAGCGUGGGGAGCAAACAGG